UUGACUAGGUCAUGUAGGAUAGUGAUGUGGAGUGUUGACUUGAGUUAGUUUGUUAACUGAAUACCACGUGUCCAAUGUUUGGAGCCCCAUCAGAAGAGAUGUAACGGAAAUGAUAGACCCCACAUUGCUAAAGAGAAAGACGAAGUCCUGAAUUUUAUCUCACACAUGUGACCACUAUUUAUUUCAUUGUAUUUUGCAUCCAAAGCAUCUGUAUCAUAAUUUCCAUGUUCU
rnacentral:lncRNA from 1 species